UAAUUUGUUUAUGGUAACAAAGGAGCUGGAAAACUUAUAAGUUGAUUGAUGAAAAAUAAUACCAUGGAUUUGAUUAUCUUGUCAUGGAGAGAGAUGUGGUGUGGACACUAUCAGCUUUGGUUCCACUGAAACUUGGACUUGAUUCACUGAAGGUGGCCUCUAUUCGUAUCAGAUUUCGCUUCAAAAAUUUUGGACCUUUGUUACUAGGUACAUAAACAUCUGAGGUGUUUAUUGGAGCUCUUUGCCUAGAACUGAUAAUUGGAUUCAUGGUAUUCUGGAGAACAAGCAUUUGAUAUAAUAUAAAUGUGCAGAAGGUAGGAAUCGUUUAAAGGAGACAUAAUAGUAAUAUAACCUCGGCAGGGUGAUUGCGGUUGGUUUUUCAGACAAACUUCAAAUGGGAUGGCCAAAGAUCUGGCAAUGAAGAAUGGACUUGGAAGUGGUAGACAAUACAAUUGAUAACUGGAAGAACAGAUAACAGAACAGCAUACAGGAAACAGGCUGAGGAAGAAUAAGAGACUUGCUUGAGGAAGAAAACUGAAGCCCAGAAAGCUUAAUAUAUUACCCAAAGAGUUAGUCCACAUUGAACUGGGAGUUAAUCCUUGUCUGUCUGGCUGGAAAGCUUUUGCUCUGUAUCUUGGAUGAAUAAACUAAACCUUAGGGAAUCUUCCUAGAGGAAACCAUAUAACGCCUCCUGUACGAGAAGUUAAAUUACAACACAAAGAUUGCUUGGUGAGCAUGUGAUCAAAACAGGGCAAGAUGAAGACCUUUAGAGGCCACAAGCAUUUUAGUGUGCCUCCCAACUUCCCUUAUAUUAUUCAAAAUAUAAACAAUAAAAUCUACAAAGAUGUGAAAGAAGUCC
rnacentral:lncRNA from 1 species